UGUUGGUGGGGUAAAGGCCUACCAAGGCGACGAUCCGUAGCUGGUCUGAGAGGAUGAUCAGCCACAGGGACUGAGACACGGCCCAGAACUCCUACGGGAGGCAGCAGUAGGGAAUAUUGGACAAUGGGGGCAACCCUGAUCCAGCCAUGCCGCGUGUGUGAAGAAGGCCUUAGGGUUGUAAAGCACUUUCAAUUGUGACGAAAAGCUAAUAGUUAAUAACUGUUUGCCUUGACGUUACCUAUAGAAGAAGCACCGGCUAACUCCGUGCCAGCAGCCGCGGUAAUACGGAGGGUGCGAGCGUUAAUCGGAUUUACUGG
rnacentral:rRNA from 1 species